rnacentral:tRNA from 1 species
GAGGGUAUAGCUCAAGUGGUAGAGCGCAUGCUUAACAUGCAUGAGGUCCUGGGUUCAAUCCCCAGAACCUCCU